AAGAUUGAUGAUGAAGACUUGAUCUUGUACAUCAUCGCCGGACUUGACAAAGAAUACGACCCUGUGGUUUCAUCUCUGGUCGGCCGACCAGAUGCAAUCAUGGUGAGUGAAGCCUAUGUGCAACUGCUUAGCUUCGACC
rnacentral:snoRNA from 1 species